UACGUAGGGCGCAAGCGUUGUCCGGAAUUAUUGGGCGUAAAGAGCUCGUAGGCGGCUUGUCGCGUCGUCUGUGAAAUCCCGCGGCUCAACCGCGGGUCUACAGUCGAUACGGGCAGGCUAGAGUUCGGUAGGGGAGACUGGAAUUCCUGGUGUAGCGGUGAAAUGCGCAGAUAUCAGGAGGAACACCGGUGGCGAAGGCGGGUCUCUGGGCCGAUACUGACGCUGAGGAGCGAAAGCGUGGGGAGCGAACAGG
rnacentral:rRNA from 1 species